UACGAAGGGGGCUAGCGUUGUUCGGAAUCACUGGGCGUAAAGCGCACGUAGGCGGAUUUGUCAGUCAGGGGUGAAAUCCCGGAGCUCAACUUCGGAACUGCCUCUGAUACAGCAAGUCUUGAGUUCGAGAGAGGUGGGUGGAAUUCCUAGUGUAGAGGUGAAAUUCGUAGAUAUCAGGAGGAACACCGGUGGCGAAGGCGCACAUCUGGCCCGAUACUGACGCUGAGGCGCGAAAGCUAGGGGAGCAAACGGG
rnacentral:rRNA from 1 species